CCUACGGGCGGCUGCAGUGGGGAAUAUUGGACAAUGGGGGGAACCCUGAUCCAGCCAUGCCGCGUGUGUGAUGAAGGCCCUCGGGUUGUAAAGCACUUUCAGUGAGGAAGAACGCCUGGUGGUUAAUACCCAUCAGGAAAGACAUCACUCACAGAAGAAGCACCGGCUAACUCCGUGCCAGCAGCCGCGGUAAUACGGAGGGUGCGAGCGUUAAUCGGAAUUACUGGGCGUAAAGCGCGCGUAGGUGGCUUGAUAAGCCGGUUGUGAAAGCCCCGGGCUCAACCUGGGAACGGCAUCCGGAACUGUCAAGCUAGAGUGCAGGAGAGGAAGGUAGAAUUCCCGGUGUAGCGGUGAAAUGCGUAGAGAUCGGGAGGAAUACCAGUGGCGAAGGCGGCCUUCUGGACUGACACUGACACUGAGGUGCGAAAGCGUGGGUAGCAAACAGGAUUAGAUACCCUUGUAGUC
rnacentral:rRNA from 1 species